UACGUCAUCAGUGAAUCAUCGAAUCUUUGAACGCACCUUGCACUUGCAGAGUCUAUCUGCAAGUAUACCUGUUUGAGUAUCAUACACAUCUAUCCGCGCAAGCGGGAUUUGGGCUUCAGCGUGCAAGCGCCGUCGCCUCAAAUGCAGCGAGGAACGAGGACGACGCGGUCGUGCUCUUACGUGAGGAUGUUUGUGCUCCGGCGCAAAGUAAUCACAACGAGAGGGCGGACGCGGCGUUCUGCAACGUUUCUGCAUCAUCGGUGGUGCGUCGUGCACACGUGCGCGACCAACACCACCACACCCCCCCGUACACAAUGUGAUCUCAAAUCAGGCAAGAAGACCCGCUGAACUUAAGCAUAUCAAUAAGCGGAGG
rnacentral:rRNA from 1 species